rnacentral:lncRNA from 1 species
UUUUUGUUUUAUUUUUGUUUUUAAACACCUUUUAAAAAUAGAACCAUAAAACCUUGCCACUCUAAGAUUUUGGCUUAAUUGAAUAUAUUAACCUGUCCAUGCAGAAAUAACACCAACAUUUAGAAAUACUAGGGGAACGAAUUGCAGUUUUUAUAACAAUUUUUUUAAGUUUGGUAUUAAAAAACAUUCAAAUGUCUCUGUCCCUUAUAAUUGAUAAUCAUGUUUAAAGUGCAGUCAUUUGUGGUUAUAAUGUUUUGCUUGCUCCCAUUACUCAAUUCCUCAUAAGGAAAUUGAGGGAUUGGAUGGAAUCCCAAAUUUAUAUAAAAGUUCUGUUAAGUUGUAUUAAAAAUAGACAUAUAAAAAAUACCUUUUACUUCUUGUUGGUUAGACCGUAAAGUGCAUGUGUUCUGUUGCCCUUGGAACUGCUCAAUUUCCAGACAGCUUUACAGUUAGUGGAGAAGGUGGCUUAAUGCAGCACUUGGGCAUUCCUACUUCACACAGGGAGGCUCGGGCGCGGCCUUCAGAGCAGGUGUCAGGAAUGCUGACUGGGUCUGUGAGCUCCAGGUAGAUGUUUCCAUCACUUGUUCCACUGUGCUGACACUGUUUUCCUUACCUAUUCCCCCAGUUCCCAGCUUCCUCCUCUGUUAUGCAUUUUCUUCACAGUGCAGCUUGCAGCCCCUUGCUAAAAAUGAUUAUAAAGCUCUGUGUAGUGUUAAGCUUUAUUGUGAUUACAUGUAUGUUUCUUUUUUUUUUUUUAAGCAGACCCAUACCUUUCCAGGGUAUUGUACAGAAUACAAUAUAAACUUUGAAUUUUUUUCCAUUUCUUUUGUUCUGUGUAAAGACUUUAGAAGUCUAAUUCAGAGGUGGGCCAAUUCAGAAUUGACUGUAAUUGAACACAGGCUAAAAGUAUUUAUGGGAGGAGUGACAUAUAGCAUGAGUUAUCUGGUUUUUGUAGAAUAUUUUAAGUCUUCAUUUGCAGUUGAUGUAACAUUCAUGUCUUAAAUUUACACAAUAAAGCAGUCCUGUUCAAUUUGUUUUUU